rnacentral:rRNA from 1 species
CGUACACUCCUGCGGGAGGCAGCAGUGGGGAAUAUUGGACAAUGGGCGCAAGCCUGAUCCAGCCAUGCCGCGUGAGUGAUGAAGGCCCUAGGGUUGUAAAGCUCUUUCACCGGAGAAGAUAAUGACGGUAUCCGGAGAAGAAGCCCCGGCUAACUUCGUGCCAGCAGCCGCGGUAAUACGAAGGGGGCUAGCGUUGUUCGGAAUUACUGGGCGUAAAGCGCACGUAGGCGGAUCGAUCAGUCAGGGGUGAAAUCCCAGGGCUCAACCCUGGAACUGCCUUUGAUACUGUCGAUCUGGAGUAUGGAAGAGGUGAGUGGAAUUCCGAGUGUAGAGGUGAAAUUCGUAGAUAUUCGGAGGAACACCAGUGGCGAAGGCGGCUCACUGGUCCAUUACUGACGCUGAGGUGCGAAAGCGUGGGGAGCAAACAGGAUUAGAUACCCCAGUAGUCCCAUG